AGUGAACGCUGGCGGCGUGCCUAACACAUGCAAGUCGAGCGAAGUGGCAGCUGUAGCAAUACAGUAUGUGCUUAGCGGCAGACGGGUGAGUAACACGUAGAUAAUUUACCUCUUAGCGGGGGAUAGCCCGCCGAAAGGCGGGGUAAUACCGCGUACGAUCAAGAUUCGGCAUCGGAUUUUGAUGAAACACCCGCAAAGGUGGCUAAGAGAGAAUUCUGCGCCUAUCAGCUAGUUGGUGAGGUAACGGCUCACCAAGGCUACGACGGGUAUCCGACCUGAAAGGGUGACCGGACACACUGACACUGAGACACGGGUCAGACUCCUACGGGAGGCAGCAGUGAGGAAUUUUGGACAAUGGGGAAACCCUGAUCCAGCGACGCCGCGUGAAGGAU
rnacentral:rRNA from 1 species